rnacentral:rRNA from 1 species
CGUAGGGUGCGAGCGUUAAUCGGGAAUUACUGGGCGUAAAGCGUGCGCAGGCGGUUUGUUAAGAUAGGCGUGAAAUCCCCGGGCUCAACCUGGGAACUGCGCUUAUGACUGGCAAGCUAGAGUACGGCAGAGGGGGGUGGAAUUCCACGUGUAGCAGUGAAAUGCGUAGAGAUGUGGAGGAACACCAAUGGCGAAGGCAGCCCCCUGGGUCGAUACUGACGCUCAUGCACGAAAGCGUGGGUAGCAAACAGGAUUAGAUACCCUGGUAGUCCACGCCCUAAACGAUGUCAACUAGGUGUUGGAUGGGUAAAACCAUUUAGUACCGGAGCUAACGCGUGAAGUUGACCGCCUGGGGGAGUACGGCCGCAAGGUUA